GUGCGGUGAAGAUUUAAUAAUCGUGUUCCAAAGAUCGUUUCUCAUGACACUGUUUGUGACGGCACACAAUCCACUAAGAAGUUCUGAGCGC